rnacentral:snRNA from 1 species
AUCGCUUCUCGGCCUUUUGGCUCAGAUCAAGUGUAGUAUCUGUUCUUAUCAGUUUAAUAUCUGAUACGUCCCCCAUCGGGGGACUACAUAUUAAAUGGAUUUUUCGAACAGGGAGUCGGAAAUGGGGCUUGCUCCGUCCGGCUCCACGCAUCGACCCGGUAUUGCAGUACCUCCGGGAAUGGUGCAACACUU